UACGUAGGGUGCGAGCGUUACUCGGAAUUACUGGGCGUAAAGCGUGCGUAGGUGGUGGUUUAAGUCUGUUGUGAAAGCCCUGGGCUCAACCUGGGAAUUGCAGUGGAUACUGGGUCACUAGAGUGUGGUAGAGGGUAGCGGAAUUCCCGGUGUAGCAGUGAAAUGCGUAGAGAUCGGGAGGAACAUCCGUGGCGAAGGCGGCUACCUGGACCAACACUGACACUGAGGCACGAAAGCGUGGGGAGCAAACAGG
rnacentral:rRNA from 1 species